rnacentral:rRNA from 1 species
UUUUUGGGAUAAAUGUUUAAAAUUUGUUUUGUGAACUGGAUUAGUACCCAGGUAAUCAAAAUUUAUUAAUUCGGGAGUAAAGUUGUGUUUAAACCGAAAGAAUAUUGACUGACUUUAGAUUUUUCUUUGGAAUAUGUGCUAGGAUAGCCCUCUUUAUUGGUAAAUUUUUUUGGCACAUGUAUGAUUGUUUUGUUAUUAUGUUAUUUGUUAGUGCUUUAAACUUUUUUAGUUUUAAAACAGAUAUAUAUUUGGCUUAUAAAUUUUUUUGCAUGUAUUACUAUUGUUAAUUUUCUUUGGAUAUUUUUUUUAUUUUUUUUUGAAAUUGGAAAA